rnacentral:rRNA from 1 species
GUAGUCAUAUGCUUGUCUCAAAGAUUAAGCCAUGCAUGUCUAAGUACAAGCCGCUAGACGGCGAAACCGCGAAUGGCUCAAUAAAUCAGUUAUGGUUCCUUAGAUCCACUCCAUCCUACUUGGAUAACUGUGGUAAUUCUAGAGCUAAUACAUGCACUCGAGCCUCGACUGCGGGUCUUCGGACUCGCAGAAGAGGUGCUUUUAUUAGAUCAAAACCAGUCGGGGCCGGGCUUCGGCUCGCGCACCGUACCAAUUUUGGUGACUCUGGAUAACUUCACGCCGAUCGCACGGCCUUCGCGCCGGCGACGUAUCUUUCAAAUGUCUGCCUUAUCAACUGUCGAUGGUAGGUUACGCGCCUACCAUGGUUGCAACGGGUAACGGGGAAUG